AGCCACGCAGUGAGCACAAAGCGAACUAUUCUUUCGCCUUUUACUAAAGAAUACCGUGUGCUCGCUGCAUAUAGUGGCAACCGACUAUCUGGUGAAAAAAACUCAUCGCAUUA